UACGUAGGGUGCGAGCGUUAAUCGGAAUUACUGGGCGUAAAGCGUGCGCAGGCGGUUUGUUGUGUCUGAUGUGAAAGCCCCGGGCUUAACCUGGGAAUGGCAUUGGAAACUGGCAAGCUGGAGUGUGGCAGAGGGGGGUGGAAUUCCGCGUGUAGCAGUGAAAUGCGUAGAGAUGCGAAGGAACACCGAUGGCGAAGGCAGCCCCCUGGGCCAACACUGACGCUCAGGCACGAAAGCGUGGGGAGCAAACAGG
rnacentral:rRNA from 1 species